UGAAAGCACAGGACAAACUGAGGAUGUUUCAGGGUGGGAUGCUGCAUGGAAUCAUUCUGGUAUUCUGAAUAGCACCAGACACAUUUAGAAAGAAGGACACAAGAAAAAUGAAGAUUAACCACAUCACAAUCUGCCCAGUGAGCUCCUCCAGACGGUUGUACUGUAUACAGUGCCUCGUUCAUCUGAGGGCUCGACGUUAAGCGGGCAGCAGAUGAAAGGCCGCGCUGAAGCCCAGCAGGUUUCCCUCUCCAUGGCCUCGUGUUGCCAGUCAGCUCGUAACACUCCGCGCUUCAUGCCAAGACAAAUGAAUUACGGAGAGCGAGAGCCAGGACCUCUGCUGCUGUGACCAUAAAUGGAGACGAGGAGCGCUGCGGAUGACUGAUAGAGACUGGAAUGCGCCAC
ensembl:lncRNA